CCCGCUGAACUUAAGCAUAUCAAUAAGCGGAGGAAAAGAAACCAACAGGGAUUGCCUUAGUAACUGCGAGUGAAGCGGCAAGAGCUCAAAUUUGAAAUCUGGCACCUUCGGUGUCCGAGUUGUAAUUUGUAGAAGCAUCUUUUGGAUUGGUCCUUGCAUAUGUUCCUUGGAACAGGACAUCAUAGAGGGUGAGAAUCCCGUUCAUGGUGGGGAAUCCAAUUCUUUGUAAAGUGCCUUCGAAGAGUCGAGUUGUUUGGGAAUGCAGCUCUAAGUGGGUGGUAAAUUCCAUCUAAAGCUAAAUAUUGGCGAGAGACCGAUAGCGAACAAGUACAGUGAUGGAAAGAUGAAAAGAACUCCGAAAGGAGAGUGAAAAAGGACGUGAAAUUGUUGAAAGGGAAGUGCUUGAGAUCAGUCUUAAGGUUUAGUGAUCAGUCUUCCUUUUGGUUGGUGCACUCACUAUUUCUUAGGCCAACAUCAGUUUUGGCGGCAGGAUAAUGACAUUGGAAUGUGGCUCUUUCGGGAGUGUUAUAGCCUUUAUUGAUACUGCCUGCUUAGACUGAGGGCUGCGCUUUUGCUAGGAUGUUGGCAUAAUGAUCUUAAGCAGCCCGUCUUGAAACACGG
rnacentral:rRNA from 1 species